rnacentral:rRNA from 1 species
UUCGAGUGGCGGACGGGUGAGUAACGCGUGGGUAACCUGCCUUACACAGGGGGAUAACGCCUGGAAACAGGUGCUAAUACCGCAUAAGCGCACAGGGCCGCAUGGCCCGGUGUGAAAAACUCCGGUGGUGUAAGAUGGACCCGCGUCUGAUUAGCUUGUUGGCGGGGUAGAGGCCCACCAAGGCGACGAUCAGUAGCCGGCCUGAGAGGGUGGACGGCCACAUUGGGACUGAGACACGGCCCAAACUCCUACGGGAGGCAGCAG